rnacentral:lncRNA from 1 species
UGACGAAGACGUGGAGAACAUGAUCGAAGAGUACGACCGCUUGGCACAGAAUCAAAACACAAGAUCAGCUCGGCUCCGUCUUUUUCUCUUCACUAAAGGUGAAGAUUCAGUAUCUCGGGCCAGCAGCAUCAGCUCACUCCUUGACGCCUCCACUAAUCGUGAGCACUGGUUCUUUGACGCCAUCAACAACGGUGCCGCUCCCGGCUCUGGCCUCGAGCGCGGGCGAUCCGAGGCUUCUUCCAUUUUUUCCGAAGCGCCGGAUUAUCUAUUCGGGUUGGAAAAUUCUGAUGAGACGCAACCUCGUGAACUCAAACCCAAAAGCCGCC